UGUCCCAACAAUGGGCAAAGAGACACCUUGUUGAUGGCGUAGUUCUUAUAUCAGUCAGGGGCAGAGCAGAUAGCAGUCCUUUGCUCAUCCUAGCUUGAUGCCUGGCUUGACAGCCAAAGCCAUCUUAUGCCUAGGACUCAUAA